UACGUAGGGUGCUAGCGUUGUCCGGAUUUAUUGGGCGUAAAGGGCGCGUAGGCGGCUCGCGAGGUCGGGGGUGAAAUCCCGCAGCUUAACUGCGGAAGGGCCUCCGAUACCGGCGGGCUGGAGGAAGGUAGGGGUGCGCGGAACUUCUGGUGGAGCGGUGAAAUGCGUUGAUAUCAGAAGGAACGCCGGCGGCGAAAGCGGCGCACUGGACCUUUUCUGACGCUGAGGCGCGAAAGCUAGGGGAGCAAACGGG
rnacentral:rRNA from 1 species